CGCGUAGGCGGACUAUUAAGUCAGAGGUGAAAUCCCAGGGCUCAACCCUGGAACUGCCUUUGAUACUGGUAGUCUUGAGUUCGAGAGAGGUGAGUGGAAUUCCGAGUGUAGAGGUGAAAUUCGUAGAUAUUCGGAGGAACACCAGUGGCGAAGGCGGCUCACUGGCUCGAUACUGACGCUGAGGUGCGAAAGUGUGGGGAGCGAACA
rnacentral:rRNA from 1 species